CCUACGGGAGGCUGCAGUAGGGAAUAUUGCACAAUGGGGGAAACCCUGAUGCAGCGACGCCGCGUGAGUGAAGAAGUAAUUCGGUAUGUAAAGCUCUAUCAGCAGGGAAGAAAAUGACGGUACCUGGGUAAGAAGCCCCGGCUAACUACGGGCCAGCAACCGCGGUAAUACGUAGGGGGCCAGCGUUAUCCGGAUUUACUGGGUGUAAAGGGAGCGUAGACGGCAGGGCAAGGCUGGAGUGAAAGGCGGGGGCUCAACCCCCGGACUGCUCUGGAAACUGUACGGCUGGAGUGCAGGAGAGGUAAGUGGAAUUCCUAGGGUAGCGGUGAAAUGCGUAGAUAUUAGGAGGAACACCAGUGGCGAAGGCGGCUUACUGGACUGUAACUGACGUUGAGGCUCGAAAGCGUGGGGAGCAAACAGGAUUAGAUACCCGUGUAGUC
rnacentral:rRNA from 1 species